GACUUCAUGGCGCAACAGUAGCGCGUCUGACUCCAGAUCAGAAGGUUGUGUGUUCAAAUCACGUCGGGGUCA
rnacentral:tRNA from 1 species